GAUGAACGCUGGCGGCGUGCUUAACACAUGCCAGUCGAACGAUGAAGCCCAGCUUGCUGGGUGGAUUAGUGGCGAACGGGUGAGUAACACGUGAGUAACCUGCCCUUAACUCUGGGAUAAGCCUGGGAAACUGGGUCUAAUACCGGAUAGGAGCGUCCACCGCAUGGUGGGUGUUGGAAAGAUUUAUCGGUUUUGGAUGGACUCGCGGCCUAUCAGCUUGUUGGUGAGGUAAUGGCUCACCAAGGCGACGACGGGUAGCCGGCCUGAGAGGGUGACCGGCCACACUGGGACUGAGACACGGCCCAGACUCCUACGGGAGGCAGCAGUGGGGAAUAUUGCACAAUGGGCGCAAGCCUGAUGCAGCGACGCCGCGUGAGGGAUGACGGCCUUCGGGUUGUAAACCUCUUUCAGUAGGGAAGAAGCGAAAGUGACGGUACCUGCAGAAGAAGCACCGGCUAACUACGCG
rnacentral:rRNA from 1 species